rnacentral:ncRNA from 1 species
UCUUACAUUUUGAACCAAUCCUUUUCCAAAGGAUCUUUCGCCAAUUAAAACAGCUCUAUCGAGGUCUUGGAGAGCUCCGGAAACAAUUUCUGCAGCUGAGGCUGAACCACGAUCUAUUAAAACGACAAGAGGCAUAUCCGGCACUAUGGGAUUUUUACUCGCUACAUAUUCUUUGUCCCACUGUUUUAAUUUUCCUUUUGUGCUGACAACUUUGGAAUUUCGUGGUACAAAAAAGUUUACUAUUUCUACAGCUUGGUCCAUGAGACCUCCACUAUUGCCGCG